rnacentral:lncRNA from 1 species
CGGGAGGAAACCACAGGGCCGGUCCGCCCCCUUCAGAAGGGAAAAUACCCUGGCCCACAGACCCGACCCCAGCAGCCCAGUCGACCCCAGAUCAUGAUUGUAUUUGAGAGGAGGGGGUUAGUCAGGUGGAAAGCCAGGAUGCUGGAAGAACUGACUCUUGCAGGGGUCACACCAGGAGGUGUCUAGGCAGUCCUCCUGCCUCCUUCCCCCGCAGUACGGGGGCGAACACAUCUGGAACAGGGCGUUUGAGGCUGCAAGAGAAGACUGAAGAUCAGAGAAGGGAGCAGCGGCUUUCUCAAGGAUCCAGGGGCAAGAAACAUCAAAGUAAAAAGCCAGGAUACUCAGGAUGCUGUGGACAGACCAAGGCCUGCAACCUGUGCCACAGGCUCAGGGGAAGAGAAAACACUCAGGAAGGGAUGGAGAGGCGGACAAAGCUGAAUGAAGAGUGCCUGCCGGGAGCACUGAGAGAAGCAGAGGACUGUGGAGGGAGCACUGAGAGAAGCAGAGCAUUAUGGAAAGCCAGGAGCAGGAGACCAGUGGGGCCCAGUGAGCUGGACAGACCUCUGCACUUGGUGGGAUUCCCAAAGCUCCCGGGGUUAUCCUGAGGUCUGCCUCUGUUGUGGAUCAGAACUCUAAAUUUGCAGCCUGCCUUCACUUGCUGCGGGACUGACUGUCUGGGAUUCGGGGACUCAGGAUCCUAGCCUGCUAAAAGAGGUUUCUAUUUCUCCCCUCCCCCACAUCUGUGAGCCCCACCCUGUGGGAAAGAGAGACUCCCAAACUACAGCACCCUCCACCCGCCCUGCUUGGAGACACCGACCACAGACAAAGGCAUCAAGCCAUCACUUGCUACCUCUUAGAAUCCCGUCCUCAAACCUGGACUUCAUAUCCAGUAAGGAACGCAGCCCGCAGCCCGUUCACACAGUGUGGCUGGUACACAGCUAGCUAAGGAGCUGUCCCAUCCCCCCAAACCAAGAGAGCUGUUCCACCACUGAAGCCCUGCCUCUGGCCCCUCCCUAAGCCACAAGCACACACCCUAGCUAGAACUAAAGUCGAGACUCCACCCAGCCCCAUACCGCAGAUGCAGCUCAGGAGAUGGCUGAGUGGACCUGGGGGGUCUGGAAAACCUGUUGGCCUGCCUCCUGGUUCAGUCUUAUCUCCACCCACCGCUCUCUGGUUUCCCCAUCGAGGAAGACAUCCCUGCCCAGUCACUGAAGACUCUGCCUCGUGAGGGCCCUGGGUUGUUCUUCCUUAGACCCAGCGAUGCAAGGCUUGUCCCGCACAGCUGAGCUCCAGCCCCUGAGAUCUUCGGGGCUCCUACACCCGAGUAUAGAAGUGUGUCCUCAUCACCUACAGAUGUAGCACUCGGAGGGCAUCAGGCCCAGGGGACUGCAGUUGGCCUCAGAGACCGCAAAGCCAGAGCAGGUUCAUGGCUCCCACAGCUCAUCCACCUGUCACCGUCACCACAUCCAGAGCUAAACCUAUGCUGGCUUCUCUGAGCCCUUCAGGAACACAUUCCCAAAGUUGUCCUGGAGGAGGCCCUGCACGUUCAAGCUGAUGAAGCUUUGCCCUGAUUUGGGGGUGCCUCUGACGCUUCAGAAGUUCUCCUACUCCUCAGCUCCUCCUCCAGGCCUCACAUGGGAGGACUCCCAGGGUGGGGCAGGGUACUGCAGUAAUAAAUGGAUGGA